GAUGGAGGAGCUUGCUCUUCCUGAUCAGUGGCGAACGGGUGAGUAACACGUGAGUAACCUGCCCUUGACUCUGGGAUAACUUCGGGAAACCGUGGCUAAUACCGGAUAUGAGAUGCGACCGCAUGGUCUGUGUCUGGAAAGUUUUUCGGUCAAGGAUGGACUCGCGGCCUAUCAGCUUGUUGGUGAGGUAAUGGCUCACCAAGGCGUCGACGGGUAGCCGGCCUGAGAGGGCGACCGGCCACACUGGGACUGAGACACGGCCCAGACUCCUACGGGAGGCAGCAGUGGGGAAUAUUGCACAAUGGGCGAAAGCCUGAUGCAGCGACGCCGCGUGAGGGAUGAAGGCCUUCGGGUUGUAAACCUCUUUCAGUAGGGAAGAAGCGAAAGUGACGGUACCUGCAGAAGAAGCACCGGCUAACUACGUGCCAGCAGCCGCGGUAAUACGUAGGGUGCAAGCGUUGUCCGGAAUUAUUGGGCGUAAAGAGCUCGUAGGCGGUUUGUCGCGUCUGGUGUGAAAACUCAAGGCUCAACCUUGAGCUUGCAUCGGGUACGGGCAGACUAGAGUGUGGUAGGGGUGACUGGAAUUCCUGGUGUAGCGGUGGAAUGCGCAGAUAUCAUGAGGAACACCGAUGGCGAAGGCAGGUCACUGGGCCACUACUGACGCUGACGAG
rnacentral:rRNA from 1 species